rnacentral:rRNA from 1 species
GAUGAACGCUGGCGGCGUGCCUAAUACAUGCAAGUCGAGCGAACAGACGAGGAGCUUGCUCCUUUGACGUUAGCGGCGGACGGGUGAGUAACACGUGGGUAACCAACCUAUAAGACUGGGAUAACUUCGGGAAACCGGAGCUAAUACCGGAUAAUAUUUCGAACCGCAUGGUUCGAUAGUGAAAGAUGGCUUUGCUAUCACUUAUAGAUGGACCUGCGCCGUAUUAGCUAGUUGGUAAGGUAACGGCUUACCAAGGCAACGAUACGUAGCCGACCUGAGAGGGUGAUCGGCCACACUGGAACUGAGACACGGUCCAGACUCCUACGGGAGGCAGCAGUAGGGAAUCUUCCGCAAUGGGCGAAAGCCUGACGGAGCAACGCCGCGUGAGUGAUGAAGGUCUUCGGAUCGUAAAACUCUGUUAUUAGGGAAGAACAAACGUGUAAGUAACUGUGCACGUCUUGACGGUACCUAAUCAGAAAGCCACGGCUAACUACGUG